UGAGAAGCUGCGAAGAUGGCGGAGUAAGGCGUGCCGCUGCAAACUGGCCUCUGGGCCGGGGGCGAGCAGCCCCCGGGAGGCCGAGUGCAUCUGUUGGACCGUGCGAGGAGAAGAAAAAAAAUAUCGGCCAGAGGAGAGGAACUAACCGAACAUUCUUCCUCCCUACCUUAUAGAGGGGAGUGGUCAUCUACACUAAAGCAAAGUGUUAGGCGCGUCCGUGCGAAGAGACCACCAAACAGGCUUUGUGUUCCUUAUCACAGGAAGAAAAUUUUCCUUGACCUUUAGGUGCUUUUAUAUUCAUCUCAAAAACAAAAUUCUGAACUCAGGACUUGGCAAGUAAGUAAUUGUGGGCUAAUCGUUCCAAAUACUGUUUAAGUAGCUUGAAAACAGGUACAUAGAAGUGGAACAAUAAGCCGUUAGCUUCAGCAGAAGACGAACAUGAAAAAUGACUGUAAGCUAUUGAAAUUUAAGUUAAAUCUUUUAUUUUUCAACAAAAGAAAUGUAUUAAAUAAAAAGGAGUAAUCUUGAUCAUUUGCUCAAACUACCAAUAAUUUUCACUGUCUAAAGAAAACAGACACAUAUUUAAUUAGAUUGAAGGAAAUCAAAUGAUUAAAAAAUAGGCCUGGCCCGGUGGCUCACGCCUGUAAUCCCAGCAGUUUGGGAGGCCGAGGUGGGCAGAUACUUGAGGUCAGGAGUUUGAGACCAGCCUGGGCAACAUGGGGGAACCCUAUCUCUACAAAAAAUACAAAAAUUAAGCAGGUGUGGUGGCACGCGCCUGUAAUCCCAGCUACUUGGGAGACUGAGGCAGGAGAAUUGCUUGAACUUGGGAGGCGGAGGCUGCAGCGAGCCGAGAUUGCGCCACUGCGCUCCAUCCUGGGCCACAGAGACAGACUCCAUCUCACCCAAAAAUAACGAUUAAAAAAAAAUGUUACUGGGUGGUUUUAUUUAAAUAAAUUUUGUGUAUAUUUCAGGUAUACAACAUGAUGUUUUGGGAUGCAUAUAGAUAGUAAAAAGGUUUCUACAGUGAAGUAAAUUAACAUCCAUUGUCUCACAUAGCUAUUUUGUUUUUGUGGCAACAGCUAAAAUCUCAUUUAGCAUGGAUCCUGUUUACAGUAUAAUUUUAUUACCUAUAGUUGUCAUGUUGUACAUUAGAUCGUUAGACUUGUUCAGCCUACGUACCUGUUCCUUUAUAUUCUCUGACCUAUAUCUCUUCCUUUACUAACUCCCACAUCACUGUUUUGUUCUCUAACUCUGUAUAUUUGAUUUUUUAAAAAAAUUUCACAUGUAAAUGAGAUUGUGCAAUGUUUUUCUUUCAGUCCUCCUGACUCAUCUAUGCUGUGACAAAUGGCAAAAUAUUUUGUUUUUUUUUUUUUUUGAGACAGUCUUGCUGUCUUAGCACUUGCUCUGUCACUGCACUCAGGCUGGAGUGCAGUGGUGCUAUCUCAGCUCACUGCAACCUCUGCCUCCCUAAUUCAAGCGAUUCUUUUGCCUCUGCCUCCCAAGUAGCCAGGAUUACAGGUGUGCGCCACCACGCCUGGUUAAUUUUUAUAUUUUUUUAGUAGAGACAGGAUUUCACCAUUUUGGCCAGGCUGGUCUCAAACUCUUGACUUAAUCCCAAAGUGCUGGGAUUACAGGCAUAUGCCACUGCGCCUGGCCAAGAUCUCAUUCUUUUUUAGGGCUGAGUAACAUAUGCCAUCAUAUAUAUGCACUGUAGUUUCUACAGUUUAUCCAUUCAUCCAUUGAUGAUGGACAGUUAGGUUUUUUCUGUAUCUUGGCUAUUGUGAAUAAUGUUCCACUGAACAUAGGAGUGCAGACAUCUUUAUGAAGUGAUUUCAUGUUUUUUGGUUAUAUGCCCAGAAGAGGGAGUGCUGGGUUAUGUGGUGGUUCCAUUUUUAAUUUCUUUAGAAACCUCCCAGCUGGGCGCGGUGGCUCAUGCCUGUAAUCCUGGCUACUCAGGAGGCUGUGGCAGGAGUAUCGCUUGAACCUGGGAGGCGGAGGUUGCAGUGAACUGAGAUUGCACCACUGCACUCCAGCCUGGGCGACAGAGUGAGACUCCGUCUCAGAAAAAUAAAAAACAACUUUGGACAUAGAGGAGUUGGGGGCAGAGGGGGGAGGAUGAGAGAAUUUUCCAUGUAACUCCUUUUCCUUAAGAAAAAGAAGCAAAAAUCCCUCAUGCAGUGCCAUCUGACUUUAUGGUGUUUCACAUUAUAUAGUUACUUUUUUUAAUAAACGCAUAAGAUUAACUCUUCCUGCAACCCAAGGUGGAUACUUGGAUGUUUGAUUUUUAUUUAUUUAUUUAUUUAUUUUUUGAGGCAGUCUCUCUCUGUUGCCCAGGCUGGAGUGAUGCGUGAUUUCUGCUCACUGCAGUCUCUCCCACCCGGGUUCAAGCGAUUCUCCUGCCUCAGCCUCCCAAGUAGCUAGGAUUACAGGCGCGCACCACCACGCUCAGCCUGAUUUCUAGGCUGAAAAGGCUGGGACUCAGGUACUUUCCCCAGUUGGGACUGAACUUUCUCAUCAGAGAAUGGGCCUCAGAAGCAAUGUUCCCAAACUUGUGGUUGGGUCAUCGUGGAAAAGAAACCUCAAAUAAGAAAAAUAAUUACAAUAAGAAAUGGAUUUUCUUUUUUCCCACAACAGUUAUACAUUAUAAAGAACAGACUGUCGUAGAAAACUGUCUUUGCUUCCAAAUCAGCAGAGGACCAUUGUAUGUAUUGUCAGGUCUUUAUAUAAGAGUGAAACCUUUAUUUAUGCUUCUUGUGAGUAGAG
rnacentral:lncRNA from 1 species